UACGAAGGGGGCAAGCGUUAUUCGGAAUUAUUGGGCGUAAAGAGUGCGUAGGCGGUUUAAUAAGUUAAAAGUGAAAUCCUUUAGCUCAACUAAAGAAGUGUUUUUAAUACUGUUAAACUUGAGUCUUAGAGAGGAUGGAGGAAUUCUUGAUGUAGGGGUGGAAUCCGUAGAUAUCAAUAGGAACACCGAAAGCGAAAGCAUCCAUCUGGAUAAGUACUGACGCUGUUGCACGAAAGCGUGGGUAGCAAACAGG
rnacentral:rRNA from 1 species